AAGUUAGGGGAUCGAAGACGAUCAGAUACCGUCGUAGUCUUAACCAUAAACGAUGCCGACCAGCGAUUAGGAGACGUUGAAUACAAAACACCACCAUCGGCGCGGCCGCCCUUGGCGUCUGUGUCCCUUUCAACGGGGGCGUGGGGCGACGGUUGAUUACCCCGGUGGCGCCGGUGGAUGACUCCCUAGCAGCUUGUAAGAA
rnacentral:rRNA from 1 species